GGCCUUGUUGGAGUAGAUGUGUCACUAUGGGGUUGGGCUUUAAGACCCUCAUCCUGGCUGCUUGGAAGCCAGUAUUCUGCUAGCAGCCUUCAGUUGAAGAUGUAGAACUCUCAGCUCCUUCUGUACCAUGCCUACCUGGAUACAGCCAUGUUCCUGCCUUGAUGAUUGUGAACUGAACCUCUGAACCUAUCACAACCUGACUUGGCAGUGGUCCUUGUAACAGCAUUUAUAGAAGGACUCCGGCUGAUUGUCCUGAGGGCCUUCCAGGAAAGUCUCCAAAGACCACCAGGACUCACCCAUAGAGUAGAUGCUCACCUCUGCUCUCUCCUGUAAUCACACUCUGAUGUGAAUCCCGUGCCAGCAUGUCUUCAUGCUCUACUAAGCUGCAGAAACAGUUGCCCCCAAGGAAAGCAUGAAGUUUUGACAGAGACGGUUGGGAAGGACUUUGUAGAGUUUUAGGUCUCCAUGUUGCUUCUGAAGUUAUACAGAAUUCUUUCCCCCAAAUAUUGAGCACAUUUUAGGUCCUGUCACACUUCAAAGUGGAAACCUUCCUCCUUCCUAUCAUUCUGCUACCCUGGAGAGAUGGGAAAAGAUCAACUUGAGCUAAUGGUCGUUGUGGUAGCUGUGCAGAGGGACCUUCUCAGGAAGAACCAAUGUCCAAACUCCAGCCUGCUCAGUGUGGUAUGUUCCAUAGGAAGCAUUGUUAUCUUGGAAUACUAAAUCGAUUCUUUAAAAAAAAAAAAUUUACAGGGCUAGGGAGGUGGCUAAGUCAGCUAGGUUUUGCCAUGCAGGCAUGAAACCAGACUCAUACCAGUCCAACAGAUUUCAAACCGGAACCAACGACUUCAAACUCUUGCUUCUACUUCCCAAGUGCUGAGACUGUAGACAUGUCCACGACUACACUGACUUAACUACAACAGCAUUUUGAAUUCAAUAUAAUGGUCUUUUC